rnacentral:rRNA from 1 species
GAUGAACGCUAGCUACAGGCUUAACACAUGCAAGUCGAGGGGAAACGAUGAGAGAGCUUGCUCUCUUAGGCGUCGACCGGCGCACGGGUGAGUAACGCGUAUCCAACCUACCCAUUACAGGGGGAUAACCUUGCGAAAGUAAGACUAAUACCCCAUUGCAUUUUAUGGUGGCAUCAUUAUAGGAUUAAAGAUUUAUUGGUAAUGGAUGGGGAUGCGUCUGAUUAGCUUGUUGGCGGGGUAACGGCCCACCAAGGCAACGAUCAGUAGGGGUUCUGAGAGGAAGGUCCCCCACAUUGGAACUGAGAAACGGUCCAAACUCCUACGGGAGGCAGCAGUGAGGAAUAUUGGUCAAUGGGCGAGAGCUUGAACCAGCCAAGUAGCGUGCAGGAUGACGGCCCUAUGGGUUGUAAACUGCUUUUAUAGGGGAAUAAAGUGAGCUACGUGUAGUUUAUUGAAUGUACCCUAUGAAUAAGGACCGGCUAAUUCCGUG